UUAUUUAAUGGCCGCGGUAUUUUGACCGUGCAAAGGUAGCAUAAUCAUUAGUUUAUUAAUUGUGAACUUGUAUGAAUGGUUGGACGAAAUAUUGACUGUCUCAGUUUAAUUUAUUGAAUUUAAAAUUUGAGUUAAAAUGCUUAAUUGUUUUUAUAGGACGAGAAGACCCUAUAGAUCUUUAUUUAUAAUUUUAUUUAUUAUUUUUGGGUUAUAUUUUUAUAUUUUAUUAUAUUUUUUGUUGGGGUGACAUGGAGAAAUAUUUAACUCUUUAUUUUGUUUUACAUUUUUUAUGGAUUAUUGACCUUUUAUUAUUGUUAUAAGAUAUAGAUACCUUAGGGAUAACAGCGUAAUUAAAUUUGAGAGUUCAUAUCGACAGUUUAGAUUGCGACCUCGAUGUUGGAUUAAGAUAAUGAUUAGGUGAAGGAGUCUAAUUAUUAGGUCUGUUCGACCUUUAAAUUCUUACAUGAUCUGAGUUCAAAACCGGAG
rnacentral:rRNA from 1 species